rnacentral:rRNA from 1 species
UACAGAGGGUGCAAGCGUUAUUCGGAUUCACUGGGCGUAAAGGGUGCGCAGGCGGCCGUGUGUGUGAGGCGUGAAAGCCCGAUGCUUAACAUCGGAAUUGCACCUCAAACUACACGGCUAGAGCAUUGGAGAGGGUAGCGGAAUUCACGGUGUAGCAGUGAAAUGCGUAGAUAUCGGAAGGAACACCAGUGGCGAAGGCGACACGCUGGGCCGUACCUGACACUGAUGCGCGACAGCAUGGGGAGCAACAGG